rnacentral:tRNA from 1 species
AUAUUUAUAGUUAAAAAUCAUAACAUUAAAGUGCAAAUUUAAAAUUAAUACAAAUUUAAAUAUA